rnacentral:rRNA from 1 species
CCUACGGGGAGCUGCAGUGGGGAAUAUUGGGCAAUGGGCGCACGCCUGACCCAGCAAUGCCGCGUGAAGGAAGAAGGCUUUCGGGUUGUAAACUUCUUUGACAGGGGAAGAGCAGAAGACGGUACCCUGCAAACAAGCCACGGCUAACUAAGUGCCAGCAGACGCGGUAAUACGGAGGUGGCAAGCGUUGUCCGGAUUUACUGGGAGUAAAGGGCGUGUAGCCGGGAAGGCAAGUCAGAUGUGAAAUCCGGAGGCUCAACCUCCGAAUUGCAUUUGAUACUGGUUUUCUUGAGUAUUGGAGAGGCAGGCGGAAUUCCUGGUGUAGCGGUGAAAUGCGUAGAUAUAAGGAGGAACACCAGUGGCGAAGGCGGUCUGCUGGACAGCAACUGACGGUGAGGCGCGAAAGCGUGGGGAGCAAACAGGAUUAGAUACCCUUGUAGUC